GAGCAGAAAGGUUACGUAGACAGAGGAUUGAGCGAAUGGACGAUUUAGCAGUGAUUGUUGGUUCGGACCACACAACAAGCCACUACACUCAGGGAAGCAGAAACAUGGCUGUGUCUUCCUCUCGUAUUCAGCGAGAUUUGAAUGAUGCUUGGGCUGAGCUGGACGAUGAGACGGAUGUACCUAUCGAUCUUUCCGAGGAUCAUCUCGGAGAUUCGACUAGGAAUUAUGAUUUUUCAAAUGAUCCAAUCCGGGCAACAAAAAAUCAUUCAUUCCACAACACUCCCAACCGAGUGACUGACUCUAAGAGUAGUCGUGGUGGGAGUGCGUCUACAAAACAGAUGUGUGCUACUCGUCCCUGUGAUGUCCUUGGCAAUUCCCUGGAUGGUGUGGCAGAGGCAAUGCGAAACUUUGGACUUGGAAAAGAGGUAAACCGCACUAGUAAAGUGUUGGAUGUCCUCGAGGAGGUUCAGGGACUGACCAACAUAGAGUUUAUAGAGGUUGGUCGGAUGCUGACUCGGGAUAAGCAACUAGCAUCCUUUUCCGUAAGUCUUCGCCUGGAGCGGAGGGCCGAUUGGUUGAAAAGAACCUUGUCUGAUAUGAAUGGAGGGAUUGGUAAGGGUUCUUCUUGAUGGAUUAAAAUACGUUUAUUACGCAUUGAAACAGGAAUAUCUUUUUGGUGGUUUUGUAAUAACUAUAUACUGAUUUGUGGGGGAACAGUUUUCUUUUUUUGGUGUAUGUUUUUUCAUUUUAAAUGUUGGUUGAAUACUUAUAAACUUUACCAUUUUGCUUGCGUUUACAUAUUUAUAAUGUUGGUUAAAUGUCAUUUUAUCAAUCUAUCGCCUUUACAUGCUUUCAUUAUAUGAAUAUUAUAACAUGCAUUUUCUCCUAUCCUCGUCAUAUUUAUGUGAAUGCAGAUGGGUAACAGUAAAUACUAUGUUGUAAUCAAUGGACGACGCCCGGGGAUAUAUAUGUCCUGGGAUGAGGCACGACUGCAUGUGGAGGGAUUCAGCGGUGCCAGACAUCGAUCAUUCAAAACAUUCCAAGAUGCGACCGCAUGGUGGAAUGCAAACUAUGCAAGUUCAAGUAGUCGAUUAAUUAAUAGGUGAUAUGGUGAGGUACAUUCACCUACAGAUGCUUGGAAUUCUAUCCGAGAAAUUCCAAGAUCCAUGGUGUGCAAGAGUACACAAAUAGAUGAUGCCACCCUGAAAGUCAGGGAAGCGGUGACAGCAUUAGUAGUUGCAAUCUUGGUGUUAUUCUUCAUAUUAUAUAUAAUAAUUAAGCUGUAGUUUUGGAUGGUGUUAAUCUAAUAUGUUGUUUAAAUUUUGGUAGACAAUAGAAAACAAAUCCUUGAACACUUUGAUAUGGCAUGUAUAACUACAUCUUAACCACAAAUCUCAUUAUAUGUAGAUUUGAAUGUAAAUUAUGAUAGAAGUGUAUGUAUUCAUCCUUUCUUUUAUCCAUAUCUCUCUUAAUCUCUAUUAGUAUGAAGUUCCUUACAAAUGAAGUCUAGCCUUUUGAACCCAGUUUCGCAAGGGCCAGGUAUGACUACUUGAAAUCCAGAUUAGAUUACUGUAUCAUUUCCUAAGUAACGUGUUUUGCUGUGUAGGCGAUAGUUGAUUGCUUGGAGGUUGACCCUAAACAUCAAUUUUGACAUAGGUAAAUUUAACAGUAAAUCUCAGCAUUUUGGGAGAAGUAUGUGAAAGUACAUUUGAUUGAGAGUUCACCUGAGGGCUUGGAGGGAAUCAUUAUCCAUGCCUACAGUAUGCAAUGGUUUAGAAGACAAUCCAGUUGCCACUGAGACUGCCCCUCCUUACUAUGAUAUUAGACAUGUGAAUUUAUUGUUGUAUUGGUGCUGACGAGUGGGUCUGCUUGAUUAUCUUACGUGGUUGACUCGAAUUAUGUUCUGUUUGGAAUAUAUUAUACAUCAUUCUGAAAUGGUUUUUU